rnacentral:tRNA from 1 species
GCUAGCGUAGCUUAGGCAAAGCAUGGCACUGAAGAUGAUAAGAUGGACCUCAAAAAAUCCCGCAAGCA